rnacentral:sRNA from 1 species
UAAUAGCCCCGAUGGCAGUGGAAAUCCUUUUAUUUCGUUACUUUUAACGAAAUAAAAGAUGUAACGUACAGCGGGAAAAUGG